GGACGAACGCUGGCGGCGUGCUUAACACAUGCAAGUCGAACGAUGAAGCCCAGCUUGCUGGGUGGAAGAGUGGCGAACGGGUGAGUAACACGUGAGUAACCUGCCCUGAACUCUGGGAUAAGCACUGGAAACGGUGUCUAAUACUGGAUACGACCUAUCACCGCAUGGUGUGUGGGUGGAAAGAUUUAUCGGUUCUGGAUGGACUCGCGGCCUAUCAGCUAGAUGGUGAGGUAAUGGCUCACCAUGGCGACGACGGGUAGCCGGCCUGAGAGGGUGACCGGCCACACUGGGACUGAGACACGGCCCAGACUCCUACGGGAGGCAGCAGUGGGGAAUAUUGCACAAUGGGCGCAAGCCUGAUGCAGCAACGCCGCGUGAGGGAUGACGGCCUUCGGGUUGUAAACCUCUUUUAGUAGGGAAGAAGCGAAAGUGACGGUACCUGCAGAAAAAGCACCGGCUAACUACGU
rnacentral:rRNA from 1 species